GCCUUACAUCCAAACAUUUAUCCACUAGAUUCCUUUCUUAGAUGAAAGCUUUCCAAAAAGUAGGCAUGAUUUGAAUAUCAUCAAGCGCUUUUCUUUUAAUAUACCUAUAUUGGAUCCAUUUUACCAAAAUAGAAUCACUCUUAUCCCAGUAUUUUGAAGCUCUUUUAAUAUUGGUUGCAGUGGUGAUAAUAGGUAGGUCUCUAACCCCUAGACCCCCUUCCGCCUUGGGAAGGACCAUUUGGGCCCACGGGAUUCCUUUCCUUCCAUCUCAUAUAAAUUUAUAUGCUAACCUUCUCACCUUCUUAGUCACAGAAUCAAGGAUAGUCAUACCUUGUGCCCAAUAGGUAUAUUUUCCAGCUAUUAUCCAAUUAACUAGCUGUAUUCUCCCUCAAUAGUUAAGACAUUUCCCACUCCAUCUUGCUAAGCAAGGUUCCGGAUGCGCCUCUGCGCGAUGCGCCGCCGCCUGGAGCAUCUGAGCAUAUGCGCUCAGAUGCGCCAGUGGCAUUUUCGUAAAUAUUUAUAAAAUUAUAGGAAAUUAAUAUUUUUUUAUAUAUCUAAAUUAUAUUAAUUAAAUUUUUUAGUUAAAAAUAUAUUGGAUAGAAAAAUUAUUAUAAUACAUCUAUUUAUUAAUUAUUAUAACACCCUAUAAUUCAUUGUAACACCAAGGUUUAAAAACCGGUUAAUCAUUUAGGGGUAUUUUCAUAAUAAUAUAGCUCUAUAAAUGGCUAGGGUUUCUUUAAACUUAUAAAAGAGAGGCUUUUAUAAAAAGAAAAUAAUAAAUAACCCAAGAGGCUUUUAAAAAAUAAUAACGUAAUGGGCUGGGCUGGGCCUUCUUUAAUACAUCUACAACAUAAAAAAUACUCUAUAAUAAUAAUUUAUUUAACCACACAUUUUUAGUCCCACAUCGAUAGAAUUCAAAAAACACAAAGAAGGUUGGUCUAUAAAUAAAGAUUCAUUUUGUCUAAAACAAAUAUGAAGUCUAAAGAGUGGGAGGAGCUUAUAUUAAAAAUAAUAUAACUCUUUUCAUGGACCAAUGUAAAUAUUUUUAUGCUAAAAAUUUAUAAGGUCUUAAAAUAAAUUUUUUUUGCCUUUUUUUUUUAAAUAAAAACAAAACACUGUUUUAAGUUAUUUAAAUAGCUUAAAACAGGCCUGGAUCCGGGUCGGAUUUUACCCGGAUCCGACCUGGAUCCGGCUAAGGGGGCGCAUCAUCGCAUAUGCGCGCACCCGGAACCUUGUUGCUAAGAGCGCCUCUAUUGAUUGGAUUAGUUUUCAGCAUUGUCCAAAUGACUUUUUCUUUCCCGUGAUUGGUAAUCCCAGAUAUGAUAUGGGUAAAUUUUUAACAGUGUAUCUUAAUAUAUCAUGCAAAGAUUGGUCUUCUGCGCAUACUUUCGAGAAGGUGGAAGAACUCUUGUUCGCAUUUACUUCUAAUCCCGAAAACAACGAGAAUUUCUCAAGUAGUGCCUUAAUUGCAUUAAACGAUUUCGGGUUUGCCUUUCAGAAUUACAUUCGGGUUUGAGGAUAUCAUUUGCAUACAUAAGGUGAGAUAUAGAAGUAGCACUAUUAACCUGAUAGGUGUCUAUCCUUUUGUUCCUCACUUCACUCUGUAUCAAUCUACCUAGAACGCCCAUAAUCAUGUCAAAUAGAAUAGGAGAUAAAGGAUCACCCUGCCUAAUCCCCCUCUGGCUUUUAAAGUGAGGUGUUGGAGUCCUUCCACAAAUAUCGAGAAUGAAGCAGAGGAUAUGCAAUUCCAAAUCAAUUUGCAGAAUAUAGAAGAAAAUCCAUACGCUUCAAGAGUGGCAAUUAUAGCCUCUCACCUGACUGUGUCAAAGGUUUUUUAAGGUACUGAAACAACAUCUUUUGGGAGUUCUCUUUCUCCCAAAACCAUGAACAAUCUCAUCAGCUAGAAUGGUAUUAUCCGAGAUGAGCCUAUCCUGAAUGAAAGCUGCUUGAUUUGGGGAGAUGAGUUCAUAUUGUCAUUAGCUUGUAAAUAAAGUUAACACAUGAAAUAGGUCAGAAAUCAGACAUAUCUGAGAAACAAGGCUGAUGAAAGUCUAAUUAGAGGACUUCAGCAAGAGCUUGUCUUUUAAGAAUUGCCUUACACAUUCCAUUACUAGGCCUUUCAGAUCUCCCCAAAUUUUUUUGAAAAAUUCUGAGAUGAAACGACUCAGGGAAUUUUCUAGAGUUGAAGGGAACAAAGUGGAUCUCACCUCAUCCUCUAACGGAAUCUGAAUCAACCAUCUAUUCAUUACCUCAGAAACCACUCUAGGGAAAAUGACUGAGACAGUUGGUUGUUGGGUAAUUGAAUUACUAAAAAGAGUUUUAAAAUACCUAAACUGUUUUCUUCUAGCAGGGCCCUAGUGGUGGUUUGAUUUUCAUCCGUAUUGAGAAUUUUAAAGGUUGAAUUUUUGGAUCUCCUUAACUUGAUGGCGAUAAUUUUAAAGGUUGAAGUUUUUAUAAAUAUUUGACAAAAUGUAGAAGUAAAAUACUUUUAUAACAAGUUUAAUCUUUUAUUGGACUAAGCAUCAGUGUAUGGUAUGUCAUAAUUCUAUAUUUUUUACUCAUACCUUCAUUUUAUAAUUUAUUCACCACAAAGAACAAUUUAAUAUAAGCGCAAACAUUAAAAGAAGAAGCAAGUUUUACCUUUUGUUAAUUGGAACACAUGCAGAGCAACCCGUUCAGCAAUAAGACGAACAGGUGUGCUUCCAUCUUUCAAAAUCUCAGAAACCACUGGACCAAUACUUGAAAUAUUAGCAGAUAUAAACUUAGGGCUAACCUGCACUCAACAAAUCAACAAGGAUAAGUUCAAAUGAAAGGAUCAUUUAUACAAAAUAACAUAUAUGUAUAAAGAAGUAAAGACCUUAGCAAUAGCCUUCAGACCAGAUAAUGAUUUUCUUCUUACUUCACUUGACUCGUCAUGCAUGGCUGUUAAUAAAUAUUGAAGAAGAUCUACUCUAACGGUUUUAUUUGCGUCAUUGUUGACAAGGAAAAAUAAAAGCCUUCCUAAUGCCUUUGAAGAAGCUUCUCGAAUUGGGAACUAUUAAAUAGAUUUGUGAGAGAAAUUAUAAAUAAAUAUUUUUAAAAAUUUGUUCACAAAAAAUGUAUGGAAUUGUCAUAUAAAAUAAAGUCGAGCAAAGUAAUUAGAUAUUUAGAUCAAAUAUAAACCUUGUCAUCUUCAAGUGCAGUGUGAAGACAUUUGACAACAGAUUGAAAUACUUGAGAUUGGCAUAUCAGUGCCGGAUUACGAGAGGACAUUGAUGAAAUUGUGACCAGUGAGCCAUGUCUAACAAACCAUGUUGAAGACUUAUUUAUCAUGCAUAGAGCAUCUAGGAGAUCAAGGAGCUCAUGGUCGUCAAAAUACUACAGAAAAUAAAAUUCAAUGAAUAAUCAGUGAACCGUAAUCACAGGCAAUUCAAAAUACUGCCGUUUCAAGAUAAAAUGGAAGCUGUGUAACCUGAGGUAAUACCGUAAUAGUGGACAUAAUGUAGGCAUGUAAUCAUAGUGGUCAGAUAUUAUCUGACAGAUGGACAACAAGAUUAGGAAGUAAAUCCUGUACUCUAGGGUAGAGUGAAUCAAGGUGGCUACAUCUUCUAUCUCUCAUCUUUUAGCGAUAACAUUUUUAUUAAAGGUGAUUUUUUUACUGUUAAUUACUUAGGAAUCAAACAGAGAAUGCCUUUCAAAAGAUGAAAGAGAGAGAAAACUAGCAAACCUGAGAUGCAGCACCCAAAACUCUACCAGCAGAUAUUCUCACUUCAUCAUUAUCAAGUUGUAUCAAAUCCCUUAGCAGAGAACACAAACGAUUUCGUGUAAUGCUAGAAACAUUCUUCCCAGCAUGUGUUAAAACACCCUUCAGAGCAGUUAGCACAGCCUCUCGAAUACCACCAUCAGAUACCUGAAACAAUUCAUUUAGGUAAACCAAAUCAGACUCCUGAAGGCUGAAAUAUUUUUCUAUACAAGUUUAUAUAUAAAUAUCGAUCCGGGCUGUCUGAGAAAGUUGGAACAAUUACCAUAAUUAAACAUAUGACCAUAUGAGAACAAAUGAAACAUCAUGGAAAUAUAUAAUGCUUAAAAACAUAUUAAUGACCUGUAAUGCAGUAAGAAGAUCACCAACUAAAGGAUCAACACGAGUGCUAAGAGCACUCAGCUUUCCAAGAGCAUGUGCAGCACUAGAACGGACCAUCCUACAAUAUAAAUUUAAAAUUAGAUAAACUAUAUAUAAAUAUAAACGCACAUUACCAUCAACAAGGGAAAAUUUUAGUGCACCUUGCAUUGUCCUGCAAGCAUUUAAUGAAUGUAGUCUGGAGCUGCGGAAGAAAAGGCUUAAGUGUGACACCUCCCUUGGUUAUGAUGAUAGAUAACGUUGAUAAUAUUGCUCCUUUAACUUGCCAAGGGAAUCUAUCACCAAUUAUUCGGAUAAGAGGCCUGCAAGCAAAGCAAAAUCAAUCAUAUAGUAAAUGGCCCUACAUUACAAUCAAAAGAAAAUUGGGAUUAUUCAUAAAAAAUGUAAGAACCAAAGAAAAAUUAUAAAAAAUAUGUUGCAGAUACACUAGUUGCUAACACACGUAGAAGUCUCAUUGAUGUAUGAAGGGCCAAGGAUUCAUGAAAAAUAGAAGGUGAAUCUCCUAUCAGAACAGAAAUAACUAAUAAACAGUUGUUUAUGGUCUAAUCAACUAAUCAAUAAAAAAUUAUAAAAAUUAAGUUGCAGACACACUAGCUGCUGCUACAUGUACAUUUAUAACAGUAUAAGUGUGUAGGAAAGGGAAGGGUCAAGGGUUCAUGAACAAUAAAAGGUAAAUCUCCUUAUAUUAGAACAGAAAUAACACUGAUGAACAGUUGUUUAUAGCCUAAUAAACUAACCAAAGUCAAUCCAGAUCCAUUUAAUUACAAAAUGUUCAUAAAUUUCCACAAGGUGUAUUUGUGGUCUAAUAGAAGGUAGACAACCUUCAAAUAGUCCUCCUGAAUGCUAUGGAAUGUUAUUGGGUGCUUGUCGUAACAUAUAUGGACGGAAAGAAAUAAAAGAUAUAGAUAACACAUUAGUAGGCCUUCUGAGGUAGUCCUUAAGGAGGUCAUUAAAGACAUCAGUCUCUCUUUUGAUUUAGUGUAUUACAAGAAGAGUUGUUGUCACCCUUUGGAGACAUCUAUGAUGGAAGUAUGAGAGACCAACCUCCUGAGGCAACGUAUCUAGUUACUACAUAAUUAGACUAUAUAGCUAAUGGGAGAGAGUCAAUGAGCUUCUUGCUCAUUUCUUUUUACUUCUGUUUUUAUUUCUAUACUCUAUUUUGUAAACUGCGCAUUAGCCUUAUUUUUUAAUGAAAAUUAAUUGCUUCAAAAAAAAAAAACCUUCAAAUAGUCAAGAAACCUUCAUGGACAUUAAAAAGAGUUGCAAUUUAAUAGAAAAAAUUAACCUUCGAUUGGUCACAUAGCCUUUCAUAAUCUUCCAUAGGAUGUUAUUUUUAGCCUAAUAUAAUAUUGAUGUGGCGUGAUUUGCCCUGAAUCUACACAUGUACACUAUAGGGCACAGGAACAAUUUUAAAAAAUCCAUCAAAAAUAAAGUGUUUCUAAUAGAACUGGAGGUUAUAAAUAAUCGGGAUAUGGAUCUACAGCUUUGAAGUUUUGAUCUCUUCUUUAUUUGGAAAGGAUUUUAGAAUGAACACAGUGCAUCCUCAUCUUUUCUUUCUAUUUCUUUUGUAACAUUCUACUCUGUAUUCUUUUUCUUAUAGUGUUAUUGUAUUUACAGUUUUAAUUGAUUAUAAAAAAAUAUUUACAAUUUAACAAACACAAAAUUGCAUACCCUGUUAUAGGGAUGACAAAGUCCCGUAAUGUUUUUUCACUUGUCACAUCAAUCAAUUCACCUAAUCCUUGUGCAGCCUGCUCUCUUGUCUCGUACGAGCCACUGAUUAAACCCUUGAAAUAUAUUCGGUACAGUAUUGCAUCAGAAGAUAUAUUUUUUUUAUCAAAAAUAUAAAAAAUAAAAUCAGAAGAUAAUUAAAUGAAUCACAAGAAAAAUCUCAAGCAGAACCUAGUUUUUUGCUUGUUUAGAAAUUCUUAAGAACUAUGAAGGAGAGGAGUGCAUGCUUAAUGCCUCCUCUGUUCAGUGGUGUGGUGUAAUGUAAUCUUCUCAGGUCACCAAUGUGGUGGGUGGUCGUUUUGCACUUGCUAAUGAAUCCGAAGUACGGUAGCUUCAGUGAUCCACAUUUUCAGAUUUCUCCCUGAGCUACUAUGGCUGUUGGAAAUUCUCAUGUUACGAUUCAUGUCACCGUAUUGUGGCUACCUGCAGACAAAAAAGAUUAGUGAAAUCAUUCACUCACUCCUCUUAUUCCUUUGAUUGUUUGAAUCAGAGUGAAAUAGGUCAAAGCCAUUAAUCUCACAGUUCGAUAACUCUAGAAAGUGCAAUUGAGAUGGCAGAAGUGUGAGAAAACACAGGUGUUGUCUUUCGUUUUUUUUAAUCUUUUGAGGAUGGUUUUCCCAAUUUUUUCUUGGAAAACCCGACCCACCAACUCGACCUCUCUUUUCUGCUCAAGCUACCUUGACAGUGCUAUAUUGCUUGCUUGUCCCAGGGUAUCUUUAGGGUGAAUUUCCAAUCACCCAGGAGGUGGACCUCUGGUGAGUGGAAUCUCACAGGUGGGAGGAUCUAACUUUUCCCUAUAGAAUCGUCCAGCCAGGAGUUCAAUCUUCAUAAGUUGGAGACUAUGGGUUAUCAGAAUCAACCAAUAGGGUUCAGAGAGAAGAAAAUAAGGGUAGAAAAAUCCAUUUUGGAAGAGAAUAAAAUUAGAGUUAUGUUUCUCUUUAGUGCACAAUUUCAAAGGUAGUGGUAACUGGUAACCCUUAAAAAUCGAGCCACAACCUAGUUGGGUUGGGGCUCCAUUACGUUCUCUGUACAUGGCUGGAGCCAUAUGAUCCUACAUCAUAUCCCUUGUAGACAUGUAUCACAUGCCAUAUAGCUGUAUUUUCAAGAUAGGCUAGAACUUCAAUGAAUUCAAUUGUUUUAAAUUCUAAAAUUCAAAAAAAAAUACAAGGACCAAUUGACUAAUCGUUUAAAAUGAUAGAUUACUAUUACAAGCAAUGUUGUUAAAAUGAUAUGCACAAACAAGAUAAUUGAUGCAGCACGUAGUCAUUGUAUUUCCUGAAUGCAACAAAUUAAUGAUUCCAGUGAUAUUGGAAGUGCAUUUAUGGAUGAAGAACAAGGUAGGCCUCCUAAUUCUAAGGACUUAGCCCCAUAUAUGGUUCGACCUAGAUCGGGGCAUCCCUUCUUUCUAGGAGGCCUUAUCUCACAUCAUUGAAUUUUUUUUGAUGAAUUAAAGAUUUCAUUACUGAAAAUAAGAGUGGGGUAGUGCCCGAUGAUUACAAAAGAGGUUGGACUAUGACCAUGGCUACCUAGUCAUGGACUGGUGCUUCAAGAGGUUGGACUCCCAUAAAAAUAUAGCUUGAGUUUCAAUUUGUGAAAGAUUGCUCUUCUUAUAAGGAGUGACAUCAUAAGCAAUACUCACAUCCAAAUGAGGGUCUAAGUGUGUGUUGUUUUAAUCUUCUAUUCUUUUCACACCAAAUGUGUCAGGAUAGAGAGGCUAACGUAAGUCAGUGAAUACCCCAACAACUGGCUUUGCGUGUGAACUUUUCUUUUGUUUCCAUUAUGUCACUUAUUAUGAUGUCAUCCAUAGGCAUAGGGAGGCCUUGCCCCCUAAAUAUCCAGAUAGCAUUGUUGACGCAACCAAGCUUUUUCAUGCGACGCCUAGGCGUCACAUAGGCGAUCAUGCGCUCCAGCGCAUGUAGGCGUUUGCCUUCAUGCGCUGGAGCGGGUUAGGCGGGUCCGUGUCGGAUCUGACCCGAACCCGCCUAACCCAAUAGGUCUGUUUUAUUUUAUUUAUUUUUUUAAUUUAAAUAUAAGGCCCAACCACCCAUUUAAGGCCCAUUUAAAUGACUUAAGUCAUUUAAAUAAGAGGUUGAGGGUUUUAAAAAACCUUAACCUCUUUUCUUUCUUGUUUCUUGCACCUUUCUAACCCUAAAUUCAUAGAAGUCUUAUAAUCUAUGUAUUUACAUUUUAAAUUUUAGAUUAAUAGUCUAUUACUUUGUAUUAAUAAUUUCAAGUUUUAAAAUUGAUGUAUAUAUUUUUUUAAAUAUUUCUGAAUUUACCCAUAUUUUUUAGCAAAUAUAUAUAAGUUCAGGGUAAAUUUGCAAAAUUUACCCUAUUUUCAGGCGACCGCCUAGGCGGCCAUGCGGUCAUGGCCAUCGCAUGACCGCAUGGUCGCCUAAAAAACCUUGGACGCAACUGCUAAUGAUUGUCAACUACUAAUGAUGUUAGUAUAAAUAUGGUGGACCACCAAAGGAGGAGGAGUUUUGAUAAUUGUGCCAUAUUACCGCAGGUAUUAAACACCUUAAUUCUACUUCACUCUCUUCUACUCUCCUACUGUUCUUAAUGUUCUUUUCUAGUUUCUAUCCUAUUUCAAUUAUUGGUGAACUCCAAGAUCUAGUUGAAUAUUAAUCUGUAUGAAGAAGAUCCUUAAUCUUCUUCAUUAUCUUUUUUCUCAUUAUUAAAGGCUACAUCAAUACGGAAAGAAAUAAAAGAUAAAGACAACACGUUAGUAGGUCUCCUAAAAUAGUUCUUAAAAAGGUCAUUAAAGACAUCAGUCUCUCUUUUGAUCUGGAGUGUUACAAGAGUUGUUGUCAUCCUUUAGAGACAUCUAUGAUGGAAGCAAGGUUUAAAAACCGGUUAACCGGUAACCGGUUCUGGCUGACCGGUUUUCCGGUUAGGCCGGUUAACCACUGGUUAACCGGUGGGGGUAUUUUCGUAAUUUUUUCUUCUUCAUAAAUUCACUAAGGCUAAAAAUAUAUUUUUAUGCCAAAAAUUUAUACAUUGGUCUAUGAAAAGAGCUAUAUUAUUUUUAAUAAAAGCUCCUCCCACUCUUAAGACUUCAUAUUUGUUUUAGACAAAAUGAAUCUUUAUUUAUAGACCAACCUUCUUUGUGUUUUUUAAAUUCUAUCGAUGUGGGACUAAAAAUGUGUAGUUAAAAAUAUUAUAAAAUAUUCUUUGUACUUUUUAUUAAUGUGGGACUAAAUAAAGUGUACAUGCAUGUAUUAUUAUGUAUUAUUAUAAAGUGUACAUGCAUGUAUUGAUAUAAAGUGUACAAAGUAAUAAUACAUGCAUGUACACUUUAUUUAGUCCCACAUUCAUAAAAAGUACAAAGAAUAUUUUAUAAUAUUUUUAACUACACUUUUUUAGUCCCACAUCGAUAGAAUUUAAAAAACACAAAGAAGGUUGGUCUAUAAAUAAAGAUUCAUUUUGUCCAAAACAAAUAUGAAGUCUUAAGAGUGAGAGGAGCUUUUAUUAAAAAUAAUAUAGUUUUUUUCAUGGACCAAUGUAUAAAUUUUUGACAUAAAAAUAUAUUUUUGGCCUUAAAAUAAAUUUUUGGUCUUAAAAUAAUUUUUUGGUUUUAAAAAAUGGGUCGGGUACGGGUCAGACCCGACCCGUAGACCCACAAACCCGCUCCAACUAACCGGCUACCGGUUUUGGAUUUUUUACCGGUUAACCGUCGGUUUUUAAACCUUGGAUGGAAGUAUGGGAGAUUAACCUCCUUAGAGAGCAUAUCUAGUUACUGUAUAACUAGAGUACUAGACUACAUAGCAAAAGGGGGAGAGUCAAUGAGCUUCUUGUUUAUGUCUUUUUACUUCUUUUUUUUUUUCUAUACUCUAUGUAACUUGGGCAUUGCUCUUAUUUUAAUGAAAUUUAAUUGCUUUAAAUAAAAGGCUACAUCAAUAAUUCAAUGCGUUAAUGAUAAAAUUAAAUAUGCAAAACUACUAAUUUAUGAAUAACAAAAUACAAAUUGAAAUGGUAAAAGAAGUGACUACCUGAAGAAAUAUGGGAAGUACAGGUUGAAGAGCUUUCGGGAGACAAAAACCAGGUAUUAGAACAGAACCACCCUAUAAUUCGAGCACGUUAUAAUUAAUACAGAUAAUUAGGUAUUUAUAUUGCUAAUACCGAGUUCAUCAUACAAAUAAGUAUUUUUUGCUGCUACCUUUCUUUUUCUUCGUUCCUUAUCUCUGGCUGUAGAGACAGCAUCGCGAACUAAUUUUAUAUAUGAAGAUUGUAAAUCUUUCGGAAUUGAUCCGAUAACUUUACCCAGAGCUUCCCAGGAAGUCUAACUCAAUGGAAAAGAGAAAAAAUAACUUAAAAUCUAAACAAAAGUAAAUGAAAAAUUACUAAUAGCACUAUAUUUGCAUAUACCAGAACUGUAGAAGAAUCUGGGUCACUGAAUAACGUAAUAAGCAAAGUGAUCAUGCCAGGGGCUUCAUCAAUCAAAUAUAACUUGCUGUACUUGAAAAAAUAUCCAAUAAGAUAAGAAGAACCAUUCCUCAUUAACACCUAAAAAAAUGCAUAAAAAAGAGUUAUAAUUCAAGUACAUGAAUGGGAAACAACAUAUACACAUAAGAAAAUGAUAGAAAGAGCAAACCUCACUAUCAACAGAAGCCUUAGAAAGCUCUGAGAUCAAAGAACCAAUACCAUCAUCAUCAAUGACAGUAACAACAGUUUCGGCAGCCUUUUUUGACAAACGCUGGACAUCCUAAAUUUCAAAUUUCGGUAUCUUAUUUAGAAACCAUAUCUAGAAUAUAGUGACCUGCUAACCUGGUCGUAAUUAAGAUGGGAAGAAAUGUGAUGUUUCUAUUACCAUAUCAUCAGAACCCAUUGAGAUAAUUAAGCUGGGAAGAAUUAUCCCAAGAUGGGAAUCAAGACCUGGUCCCGCAACUUCUGCCAACACUCCAAUAGCAUGUGCAUUAAAUGAACUGAUAAAAUUGUAAAUUAUUAGGAAAGAGAAUGUUUUUACAUUUUAAAAAAUGAAUAUACUUACUUAAGAGGAAGUUGAACCAAUUUGGGCAAAAUAUGCGGCAGAACAACAGCAGUCCUCACACUAAGUAAACAAAAAAAUUACAAAGAAAAUAAAAUGAAUCGUUUCUUUUUUAAGCAGAUAAUAUUUUUAAUUAAUAACAAUGAAGGACAGUGCUCUGAUUACAUGGAGAGAUAAUAUAAAUGAAGUGAUAAAUAAAUGAGUUAGUAACCUAUUGACUCUUUCAAAUUAGCUAUGUAAACUAAUAAUAUGGUAACUAUAUAUGUUGUCUCAAGAGAUUGAUCUCCCAUACUUUCAAUGUAGAUAUCUUCAAAGGGUGACAACAUCUAUUCUUGUGAUAUUCUGGUAUAAAUGAGAAACCGAUAUCCUUGAUAAAAAAAAUUUAAAGUAAAUAAAUUUUGGUGACUUCCAAAAAGAGUGGUUUAGAUGCUCUGUGAGUAAGAUUAGGAGGAAUACGGUGUAUGAGCAGUUUAAAAAGAUGUGGGUUUUAGAUUCUUCCUGCAGGAUCCAUAGGAGGCAGGCAGCGGUGGAAGAACCAGGGACCUUUGCUGGAAACACCACCAGGGAAACCAGAGAUUUAUCUUGACUCAUAUGGAAGAACCAGCUUUAUUAAUUGUUACAAAUCUCAAGGGGUGUGACACAAGUCUAAUGCGUGCCCUCAAAGCAAGGAGGCCCACCCGUAUGACAGAUGUGAAUAAAUAGAACUUUCUCUGAUGUCAAAAUAAUUUCAGAAUGCAUAAGAAGCUUAUGCAGAUGAAGACGAUGCAGAGCAUCUUAGUAGUCUUGUUAUAAAAGACAAGAUUAAAUCAGGGAUUAGUAAUUCUGAAGUCUUAAUUAAUGGUGGAACAAAGUGCAAGUCAAGCCCAAGCAUGUCUCGAGCCACUAUGUUCUACGUUCGUCCACUGUCCACUAUGAUUGUAUAACUAGACUACAUAGUUAAUGGGAGAGAUUCAAUGAGCUUCUUGCUCUUUUUUUUUUACUUCUGUUUUUUAAUUCUAUACUCUAUGUAACUUGGGCAUUGCCUUUAUUUUAAUGAAAUUUAAUUGCUUUAAAAAAAUGAUUUUUUAGCUCAUACAUGAUUUUAAUUUAGUUUUAACAGGCCUCUAAUGUAAUUUUAUUUCUAAAACAGGACCGUAUCUAAUUUUUGGCAUAGUUUGAGUUGCGCCAUAGCACGUAGCGCCGGCACUUGGCGCUAUGGGGAGAUAGCGUGCUAUAGCGCCUCCAUAGCACCAAGUGUAUUUUUUUUUAAAUAUUCAGUAUAUUCAAUACCAUACUUAAAGAAUCAGAAUUCUAUUUGAAUAAUUAGGAUUAAAAAAAAUUCAAGAAUCGAUUAAAAAAAAUAAGAAUUCUCUUUCAAAAAAUAGGUUUUAAAAAAACUUCAAGAAUCAUCUAGGGUUUACAAAAAAUAAGAAAAGAAGAGAGGAGGAGAUGAGAAAAUCAAGAAUGGGUUCAAAAAAAUAAGAAAUCUGUUUUAAAAAAUAGGUUUUAAAAAAAACUUCAAGAAACAUCUAGGGUUUACAAAAAAAUAAGAAAAAGAGAGAGGAGGAGAUGAGAAAAUCAAGAAUGGAUUCAAACAAAUCAAGAAUGAGAGAAAUAAAGAAGAAGAGAGGAGAGAAGAGGAGGAGAGCAAUACUGUCCGGUCGCCGGAGUUUGCUGGAUUCGCUGGAGCAUGGUCGACGAAGUUCGAUGAUCGCCGAAGAUUAGGGUUAGGGGAGAAAUGAGGACAAAUGGAGAUAAAUCGUGAAUAUAUAAGAGAAAUGGAGAGAAAUAGGGUUUAUAUUUAUAAACCCUACUUGGGUAUUCGGGCAGAUCAUGACCUGGAUCCACCUAAGGCCCACUAGUCAUAGUGUGGGUAGAUAGUGCCAGCUACCCGCGCUAUGGGCUAUAUAGCGUGCGCAACUCAAACAUAGAUUUUUGGCCAUAUAGCUUUUGGAAAAUUUCAAACGGCUAUAUUUAAUAUAUGUAAUAUAGCCUUUGGCCCUAACUUUAAUGUUUAUCAAUGUAAUACAUGCAUUUUAUUUUAUUUUUUACUAAUUUAUUCUAAUUUAAUAAGAUUUUUACAGAUUUUUAAAAAAUAAAAAAUUCCAGCAAUGUGUGGGCCGUAUACCUCUCAGAAGUAUGUGACCGUAUAAGUCCGCAUUAUUUUUUAUGAAAACAUUGCCAAUUAGUCAUUACCUCGUAAACUACUCUUGGGAAGACGAAUGAGACAACACUUUGUUGGGAUUUAAAGGGUUGCUGAAUAAGAUCUUAAAAUAUCUAACAUUGUUAUCCUCUAGAGUAGAACCUUGGGGGUGGGUUAGUUUCCAUCUAUAUAGAGGAUUUUAAAGUUGGACUUUUUGCAUCUCUUUAAUUUGGUGGAAAUACUGAAAAAUCUAUUGUUUUAACCACCUAGCCUUAACCAAGAGACCUUACUCCUUUAUUUUAGGUGUGCCUCCUCCUUGGCCAUGAGAUCCUUUAGUUUUCUUCUUAUGCUCACUGAUAGAGAGGGGAUCUUUUUCUAAGGUUUCAACUAAUUUAGAUCUAAUCUUGCUUGGCUUACCAACCUUACAGAGUGCUCCUUCUCUGCUUCCUAUUGUUUGGAGAUGAUUUUGACUUAAGCUUUUGUUGUAGCUUACAUAGAUAUGUUCCGUGUAUUUGCUUUGUUAUUUCCAAGGAAUCGGAUGCGCACUUAUACGCCAUUGCGCCUCCAAAGAGAGAUACGUAUGGCGCAUUUCCCUUAGCCGGUUCCGGAUCGGAUCCAGACCGGUCCUACCUGGAUCAGACCCUGAAUUAAAUAAAAAACAGACAAAAAAAAUAUUUUUUAAUACCUUAUAAAUUUUUAUGCCAAAAAUUUAUACAUUGAUCCAUGAAAAGAGCUAUAUUAUUUUUAAUAUAGGCUCCCCCACUCUUAAGACUUCAUGUUUAUUUUAGACAAAAUGAAUCUUUAUUUAUGAACCAACCUUCUUUGUGCUUUUUGAAUUCUAUCGAUAUGGGACUAAAAAUGUGUAGUUAAAUAAAUUAUAAAGGAUCCGACCCGGAUCCGACACUGAAUUAAAUAAAAAACAGGUCUUGCAUUAGUUAUCUCUAGCUGUCUUUGCCAAUUAGAGGUUGAAGCUUGCUCCUCGUAAGUGAAUAGUGGGUGGGAGCUUGUCCCCUUCGUCUUGUUAGUUGAGUUGUCCAUCCUUCCCCUAAGGAUUUUUCCUUAGGAGAACCUUCACUUCUUAAAAUCCCCACUGAAAUAAAGCAUGGUUUCGUAUGCGUGCGCAUAUGUUAGUUGAGUUGUCCAUCCUUCCCCUAAGGAUUUUUCCUUAGGAGAACCUUCACUUCUUAAAAUCCCCACUGAAAUAAAGCAUGGUUUCGUAUGCGUGCGCAUAUGCACGCACACUUCUCUCUUAGCCGGAUCCAGGCAGAUCCUACCUGGAUCCGACUCUGAUUUAAAUAAAAACUAACCUAAAAAUUAUUCUUAUGCCCUUAUAAAUUUUUAUAAAUAUUUUUAUGUCAAAAAUUUAUAAAUUGGUACAUGAAAAGAACUAUAUUAUUUUUAAUAUAGGCUCCUCCCACUUCUUUGUGCUUUUUGAAUUCUAUCGAUAUGAGACUAAAAAAAUGUAGUUAAAUAAAUUAUAAAGUAUUCAUUGUACUUUUUGAAUUCUCUCAAUGUGGGAUUAAAUAAAGUAUACAUAUGUUAAAUAAAUUAUUAUUAUAGAAUAUUCUUUGUACCUUUUGAAUUCUAUUAAUGUGAGACUAAAUAAAGUAUACAUGUGUUAAAUAAAUUAUAGUGUUACAAUGAAUUAUAGGGUGUUAUAAUAAUUAAUAAAUAUAUGUAUUAUAAUCAUUUUUCUAUCCAAUAUAUUUUAAACUAAACAAAUUUAAUUGAUUAUUUUAUUAGCAUGCCUAUAUUUUAGGAUUGAUAUAUAAAAAAUAUAUGAAUUUCCCUUAUUUUUAUAUAUUUACGAAAAUGCCACUGACGUAAAGGCACGCUUUUAUGCGCAAAAGCUCAAAUGCUCUAGGUGGUGGCGCAUCCCGAACCUUGGUUAUUUCAGGUUUGGUUAUCUCUACAUAAGAGGGAUCCAGUGAUAAAAGACAUAAAAUCCUUUUCCUACUUUUUUUUUUGAAGCAAUUAAAUUUCAUUAGAAUAAGGCUAAUGCCAAGUUUACAAAAUAAAGAAUAGAAAUAACAAUAGAAGUAAAAAAGAAAUGAGCAAAAAGCUCAAUGACUCUCUUCCAUUAGCUAUGUAGUCUAGUUAUGCAAUAACUAGAUACGCUGCCUCAGGAGGUUGGUCUCUCAUACUUCCAUCAUAGAUGUCUCCAGAGGGUGACAGCAGCUCUUUUUGUAAUACACUGAAUCAAAGGAGUAACUGAUGUCUUUAAUGACCUCCUUAAGGACUACCUCAGAAGGCCUACUAGUGUGCUGUCUAUACCUUUUAUUUCUCUCCGUCCAUAUAUGCCAUAACAAGCAUCCAAUAGCAUUCCACAUUAACCCCCAAGAGGGAGAGUGGCGCGUAAUCUUUUGUGCUGCCUCCGUUAAAUCCCCUAAUCUAAUAUCUGAACUGGAUUGAGUGGGGACUGGAAUAUUCAUUAUUUUUCAGAAAGCGGAAUCCAGGUGUUCCGCCAACGGAAUUAAUAAAGAUCUGGAAUAAGAACAGUUAAAGAAAAGAUGACUCCUAGUUUCAUCUUCCAGAUUACACAACAAGCAAACAGCAGGCACUUGUACUCUCCAACUCCUCAGCUUCUUGAACGUAUUUAGGUGGUCCCAUUUCACCCUCCAUAACAGAAUAGAGAAUUUUGUCGGCAUCUUCGACCAAAUUCCCUCAGCUAACACAUCUUUAUGUUUUCUAUUUCUAAUACUUUCCACUAUUCCCCCCAAUUUAUUUAUCGGAGUACCAGAUCUCCACACAAUCGUACUACUGGCCCUACAAUCCAAACAUUUAUCCAUUAGGCUUUUUUCUGAAACAAAAACUUUCCAAAAAUGCGAAUCCACAGUAGGCCUGAUUUGUAUAUCAUUAAACGUCUUUCCUUUAAUAUACCUAUAUUGGAUCCAUUUUACCAGAAUAGAAUCGCUCCUAUCUCAGUACUUUGAAACUCUUUUAAUAUUGGUUGCAGUAGUAAUAAUAGGAAGGUCUCUAACCCCUAGACCCCCUUCCGCCUUGGGAAGGACCAUUUGGGCCCACGGGAUCCUUUUCCUUCCGUCCCAUAUAAAUCUAUAAGCUAACCUUCUCACCUUCUUAGCCACAGAGUCAGGAACAGUCAUACCUUGCGCCCAAUAAGUACACUUUCCAGCUAUUAUUCAGUUAACUAGUUGUAUUCUCCCACCAUAGGAAAGACAUUUCCCGCUCUAUCUUGCUAAGAACGUCUCUAUAGACUGGAUUAGCUUCCAAC
rnacentral:lncRNA from 1 species